AUUCCAUGAUGAGGGCACUCUUGUAAUAACUCUUUGUAUCUUUCCCAUGUCUCAUACAAGGACUCAUCAUCCAUUUGUUGGAAGGAAAUGAUCUCGUUCUUUAACUU